rnacentral:rRNA from 1 species
CCUACGGGAGGCAGCAGUGAGGAAUAUUGGUCAAUGGACGAGAGUCUGAACCAGCCAAGUAGCGUGAAGGAUGACUGCCCUCUGGGUUGUAAACUUCUUUUAUAAAGGGAUAAAACGAAUCACGUGUGCCUUUUUGCAUGUACGUUAUUAAUAAGUAUCGGCUAACUCCGUGCCAGCAGCCGCGGUAAUACGGAGGAUCCGAGCGUUAUCCGGAUUGAUUGGGUUUAAAGGGAGCGUAGAUGGGUUGUUAAGUCAGUUGUGAAAGUUUGCGGCUCAACCGUAAAAUUGCAAUUGAUACUGGCAGUCUUGAGUACAGUUGAGGUAGGCGGAAUUCGUGGUGUAGCGGUGAAAUGCGUAGAUAUCACGAAGAACCCCGAUUGCGAAGGCAGCUUACUAAACUGUGACUGACAUUGAUGCUCGAAAGUGUGGGUAUCAAACAGGAUUAGAUACCCGAGUAGUC